rnacentral:rRNA from 1 species
UGGGGAAUUUUGCGCAAUGGGCGAAAGCCUGACGCAGCAAUACCGUGUGUGGGAUGACGCCUCGUGGGGUGUAAACCACUGUCAGAAUGGAAGAAUUAUGACUGUACAUUCAGAGGAAGCACCGGCUAAUUCCGUGCCAGCAGCCGCGGUAAUACGGAAGGUGCAAGCGUUGUCCGGAUUUAUUGGGCGUAAAGAGUUUGUAGGCGGUUUUGUAAGUCUGAAGUGAAAUAAUGGAGCUCAACUCCAUACACGCUUUUGAAACUACAGAACUAGAGAAUGUUAGGGGUGAGUGGAAUUUCCAGUGUAGCGGUGAAAUGCGUAGAUAUUGGAAAGAACACCGGAGGCGAAGGCGGCUCACUGGGACAUUUCUGACGCUGAGAAACGAAAGCUAGGGGAGCGA